UACGUAGGUGGCAAGCGUUGUCCGGAAUUAUUGGGCGUAAAGCGCGCGCAGGCGGUUUCUUAAGUCAGAUGUGAAAGCCCCCGGCUCAACCGGGGAGGGUCAUUGGAAACUGGGAAACUUGAGUGCAGAAGAGGAAAGUGGAAUUCCAAGUGUAGCGGUGAAAUGCGUAGAGAUUUGGAGGAACACCAGUGGCGAAGGCGACUUUCUGGUCUGUAACUGACGCUGAGGCGCGAAAGCGUGGGGAGCAAACAGG
rnacentral:rRNA from 1 species